AUGGAAUGCCUUUUGGGGUAAAGGAGGAAACGGAGCCCCUCUUAACCCUAAUAAUCACCGUAAGCCUAACAACAUAAAUUCAUUGUUAAACAACUCUGAAGGCAUGAUGGGAGAGCCGUAUGUUAAACGUUACACUCAGGUAGUAGGACCAAGCAAGCAUCGUAACCGUUACGACACGGAAACUGACCCCAGUAAAGUUAUCACUAAAGAUUACGAGUUUCGAACCCCCUGGGCAGCAACAAUGACCUAAUUACAUACAAUUUGAGAAAACUUAAAAGUGGAAGACAGUUGAAAUUUUACAGACAUCAGAUGAUAUAAUAUUUGAUUGCGUUUUAAAGUGUGAUAUCU